rnacentral:rRNA from 1 species
UAGGGAAUCUUCCGCAAUGGACGCAAGUCUGACGGAGCAACGCCGCGUGAGUGAAGAAGGAUUUCGGUUCGUAAAACUCUGUUGUUAGAGAAGAACAGCGCAUAGAGUAACUGUUAUGCGUGUGACGGUAUCUAACCAGAAAGCCACGGCUAACUACGUGCCAGCAGCCGCGGUAAUACGUAGGUGGCAAGCGUUGUCCGGAUUUAUUGGGCGUAAAGCGAGCGCAGGCGGUCAAUUAAGUCUGAUGUGAAAGCCCCCGGCUCAACCGGGGAGGGUCAUUGGAAACUGAUUGGCUUGAGUGCAGAAGAGGAGAGGGGAAUUCCAUGUGUAUCGGUGAAAUGCGUAGAUAUAUGGAGGAACACCAGUGGCGAAGGCGACUCUCUGGUCUGUAACUGACGCUGAGGUUCGAAAGCGUGGGUAGCAAACAGG